UGAUGGCUGUUCCUCUCAUGCUUGGAGCCUUAGGUAGUGAGAUUUUAGUCCAUCAUAUAUCUAAGCUGACUCGUUUUCACUCAGGGCACUAUGGGGAUGAGUUGGCUGUCUGGUAGUGCCUUCUGAUUUUUGCAGAGUCAAUUGAAA